rnacentral:tRNA from 1 species
GAGGAUAUAGCUCAGUGGCAGAGCACGUGCUUAGCAUGCACAAGGUCCUGGGUUCAAUCCCCAGUACUUUCA